rnacentral:misc_RNA from 1 species
AACUUUCGGCAACGGAUCUCUUGCCUCUCGCAUCGAUGAAGAACGCAGCGAAAUGCGAUAAGUAAUGUGAAUUGCAGAAUUCAGUGAAUCAUCGAAUCUUUGAACGCACCUUGCGCCCCUUGGUUAUUCCUUGGGGCAUGCCUGUUUGAGUAUCAUGAACACCUCAACUCUCACGGUCUUCCGUGACGAGCUUGGACUCUGGGGGUUCGCUGUCCCUGCGGCCGGCUCCUCUCACACAAUUCAUCUUGCCAGUGUCUGGCGGCAUCUCACGGGUGUGAUAACGAUCUCCGCUCGUAGCUGUCUGCCAGGUAACCCUCAACGAUGAAGGUUCAUUGGGGCUCAUAAACGUCUCUCCUCGGCGAGGACAGCUUUUGAACGUUCGAUAUCAAAUCAGGUAGGCCUACCCGCUGAACUUAAGCAUAUCAAUAAGCGGAGGGU